UACGAAGGGGGCUAGCGUUGCUCGGAAUUACUGGGCGUAACGGGCGCGUAGGCGGACAGUUUAGUCAGAGGUGAAAGCCCAGGGCUCAACCUUGGAAUUGCCUUUGAUACUGACUGUCUUGAGUACGGGAGAGGUGUGUGGAACUCCGAGUGUAGAGGUGAAAUUCGUAGAUAUUCGGAAGAACACCAGUGGCGAAGGCGACUACCUGGCCUGUUCUUGACGCUGAGGCGCGAAAGCUAGGGGAGCAAACGGG
rnacentral:rRNA from 1 species